UACGGAGGGUGCAAGCGUUGCUCGGAAUUAUUGGGCGUAAAGGGCAGGUAGGUGGUCUCAUUUGUCUGGGGUGAAAGCCUUGAGCUUAACUCAAGAAGUGCCCCAGAAACGGUGAGACUGGAGUCCUGGAGAGGGUCGUGGAACUCCCGGUGUAGCGGUGAAAUGCGUAGAGAUCGGGAGGAACACCAGAGGCGAAAGCGGCGACCUGGACAGGUACUGACACUCAACUGCGAAAGCGUGGGGAGCAAACAGG
rnacentral:rRNA from 1 species